rnacentral:rRNA from 5 species
CCUGGCGGCCGUAGCGCGGUGGUCCCACCUGACCCCAUGCCGAACUCAGAAGUGAAACGCCGUAGCGCCGAUG